GGAAUGAAUAACAUGGGCGGGAACAUGAUGGGCGGCAAUAUGGGCGGUGGUGGGGGGAGUGGCUUUGGGAGGGGAGGCAACUUUGGAUCGGGAGGAGGAAGCAGUGGUUAUAGUGGCAGUUCUGACAUGGGAGGCGGAGGGCGGAGAUUCUAAACCACACAGGUCAUCCACAGGGGAUCAAAGGAUUUAUAGGAGGUUUAGUUACCCGGCAGAGGGACAGGUUACAUGCAGGGAGAGACAGAGAGUUACUCAGAGUGACACAAACGGUGACACACUUAGUCAGAAACAGGCACAUAUUUGUGUGUCCCCGCAGGCUUGGCAGGACACAAAGAGAUGUACAGUGUAUGGUAGACAUUAGACAUUGGACUAGGUUUGCAAUGUGAAAUGUAACCGUCGCAUCAUGUUUGCCCCAAGGCUUAUGUACUGUAAUGUAAGUCAAAAACAUCUUCACCCCUGUAAAAACUGGAAUAUCUGAGAACGUCACCUUGAUUAAGGAAUUGGGGUUAUUCUUGGAUAAAGUAGGUUUUAAGCACUUGUAUUUGCUUUGUAUAUUGUGUAUGUAGACUAGAACCAACCAUUUUUUAAUGUUUGUCAAAAUUACUUGCUUAAAGGCUUUAGUUCUUAAAGAUGAAAUAAAAUGCUGUACCAUGGUGACAGAACAGGCAUGAAAUAUUUGGAUGUAGCUACAAAUUCCAUGCAAUUUCAAAUUUAACUUAUGUCAUGAAUACCCAGUAGAAUAAAACUAAAACCAGCCUUUUGAUAGGUUUCACCCACAUCUACUUCAUGUGUUUAGAAAUUCCUGGGUUCAGAGAGUUUUAAGUGGUUGAGUUGUCCUGUAUCAUGUGAACGUGUAGAUAAGUGCUGAUCUUUAUUUAGUAAUUCCUUAUCUUGGUUAGAUUAUGAAAAGCAGUAAUUGUUUGAACAAUCCUUUGAACAGUCCUUUUUUUUCAGAGUGUUGUAGAAAAAGUUAAUGAGAUCUUUCGUUCUAUAAGAUUAUCUUUUUAUUUUUCAAAAUCAACUGCUUGGUUUUGAGUUGCUUACGUAUGAACGAGUGGCUCUCUUCCAGUCUUGUCAACGUGACCAACCUGACAUUUUUUCAAGCCGUAGUAAGGCUUCCUAAAACCACAUCUAGCACCUUUGGAAGUCCUUACAUGGACAGCUGAUAGCAUGUGUUGUUUGUGUUAUUAUUACUACAAGAAUUCAGGGCCACACAAACACUAGAUAAGAUAAUUUUUAGCCCUCUGUUUCUAAGAGACCACGGAUUUAUGAAUGUUGGUAGUUAGUAGGGUGCAGUAUAGCAAGGGUUUAAAUGACAAAUUUGCAGCACAUGUAUUUAUGCAGGUGCAGUAAAGUUAAGAAGCAUAUCAAGUGAUCUCUGUCAGAGGCACCCUCUAGAAGUUGGGCAUUUGCAAACAGAAAACGAGUGUUCGAAUUUGAAAGGAAAACCAAAGUUAAUCCCUGGAAUAAGUGUUUUUGUUUGCUGUAUCCCUUGUUUCGUUAAGCUUAAUUUAACCUAUUUUGGGUUGUCUAAUUUCAGUAGUAUGGGUUCAUUAGUUUUGAUUUCUGUCUAGGUUAUUCAAGUUACCAGGAAAAUUGUCUGGAAAAAGUUUUUAUUAUGUGUAAAUUUGAGUUUUAGGAGUACUAUAGGCCGUGUCAGACCUGCUAACUUCCUUGCAUACUUUUUUAGUCUAUUUUUUCUGAAUUGCUCAUUCCAGAUUGGAUUUAUUUUCUCUGUAUUCUUGUUCUUUUGCAAGUACAUGUAGUUGUAAGACCACCUGCCUGAUUUUUCCAUUACACAUUUUUCAGCUACAUAUAGUGAACUUAGUGACUUUACUGGACUACUUUCAAUUACGAGGAUUAAAUGGAUUGCCUACAUGUAUAUACACCGUUCUCGAGAGGUGACAGUCCAGUUGUUUGAUCUUUGAUUCAGUACACUAAGCUACCAGAAAUUAUACGAUAUGAGUAUUUACUGUCAAACUGUUUGUUUUUGUUUUGUUUUUUUUUGGUGUGAUUCUGCCAAACUUAACCUUUUGACAGGCAGUUUUGGGUCUGGUUAAUUGUAGCAGUUGUGUGUAAAUUUCUGAAGUUUGAAAGGCGUAUUCGUUUUAUGUUCAGAAAUUGUUUCCAUUGUCUCAGUGAGGUUGUAAGUUUCAUUCAGAAGUGAGCCUGAAAACCCGCACCGAAAUGAUUGGAGCUGGCAGUUUCCAGCUUGUCUUGCCCACUUCUGUUUACCAUUGAAGCAAUCCACAGUAAUGGAAACACUUUCCUGACCACUGGUUCAAUUUAUUUCAAGUGUAUGCUGGGUUGCAUCAUGUAGGCUUUACGUCAGGAAUAAGAACUUUGUAAUUGUGGGGGAAAAGGUUACAGAAUUUUUUCUUUGUAAGGCUCUACGUUUGACAUUGCUGAGCACUUAUCAUGCUUACAAUAAAUGCCAUUGUGCUCAUAUUUAUGUAAUGAU